GAUGAACGCUGGCGGCGUGCCUAACACAUGCAAGUCGAACGAAGCAUAUCUGACGGAGAUUCGUCGAAGCCGGAUAUGACUUAGUGGCGGACGGGUGAGUAAUGUAUGAGCAACCUGCCUUUCAGAGGGGGACAACAGUUGGAAACGACUGCUAAUACCGCAUAAUGUAUUUGGGUGGCAUCACCUGGAUACCAAAGGAGCAAUCCGCUGAAAGAUGGGCUCAUAUCUGAUUAGCUAGUUGGCAGGGUAACGGCCUACCAAAGCAACGAUCAGUAGCCGACUUGAGAGAGUGAUCGGCCACAUUGGGACUGAGACACGGCCCAGACUCC
rnacentral:rRNA from 1 species